CAAGGCACAGGUCAAGAAGGCCAGGAAGAUGCUCUGGCAAGGACUGGUGCUGAGGCCUCCUGUGACUGCCCUGGCUCUCCUCUCAGUAUGAGGAUGUAACAAGCCACCACAUUCUCAUGCUGAUAGGACAGUGAGAGAGAGGAGGGCCUGAAUAAAGAGCCCAAGGGGCCACCUCCGCCCCCCGGGCCUGGGUUUGCCCAUACUUUGCAGUGCUGUAAAGUUACUUCUUCAGAAUAGUUUAUUACAUUAAUUUAAGAUGGCCACUCUAAAUAAAAUGUGUAAUGGCUUGCAGCCUAUGGCUUUAUGAUAGUGUCCACCAAGAAUCCUCAUCAAAUAUGUUUCUGAAGGUGGCAAGACUGAGAAAAGUGUAACCUGCAAAUAUGAAACUCUGGAUAUGGUUGUUUGGAUGAAUAAAGUCUUUUAAUAGCCUGGAGGCAAGUUGGGUACAUAUCGGGAAUUGCUUUUACUUCUUUUAAAAACAGAUUUUAUUUUCUCCCCCUGUGGAGCACUGCAGCUUUAAAAUGCAAGGUUUUGCUUUUCUUUAUGAUCAGUGAUAUCUUCCUGAAGGACAGCAGCGUGGGAAGUCAAGGAAACGCCUUUGGCUUUGGCCUUGUGUUUUACGGAGAGUUCCAAAGGCUGCAGGCACUUCAACUGCACUGGUUUGGCUCAGCGCUUGUUCAGACAAUUGGGAAACUAGCUUCAGACUGCCUAUAACUCCUUAAUAAAAUGGUUACCCUGAA
rnacentral:lncRNA from 11 species